ensembl:lncRNA
GGGUGAGGGUGGGCUAUCAGAUCAUUAGAGUGUUUAGUUAUUUUAAGUGAAAAAGUCUAGAUGGCAACUUAAAAAUGUGUCCACAGUUUUUGUUAUUUCACAGAACAGGGGCAAGAAAGUCUGAAGAUCUCUGCUUUAAGGGAAUGUCGCUCUGAAGCACUCCUAACUUAACAGGUGAUCGCAAUGAUGAGAGGGCUGCCUUCCAGCCCCUCAGCUGGUUCCCCCCUCACCAUCCCCCCAGCGUCCACAUCCCAAGUUCAUCCCCAAACCCCUCCCCUCAAAAUAACUGAUGGAAAAACACUCCUCUUUCCAAACCAAAAAUCACCUCCUCUUUUGGAUAAAUGUGUUUUCCUAAAAUGUGGGAAGAAUUUGGUCACCAACUAAUUCAACGGACUCCAGGAUUCAAGGGUGAAGCCCCAGGAGAGACCCUUCAGCAAACUCCAAAAACUGCAAACCAGCUGACAGAGAAUCCCAGGCUGGAAGGCCCACAGGCUCUGCUGCCCAUGAUUUAUCAAUUAGCGCGAACGGGACUGAAAUUCCAGAUUUUUAAGACAACCGACUCCUCCCUCCCCGCCACUCCAGAAGCCCCAGCAUUCUGCAGCCGCAAGGAUAUUCCCACCUGGGACCUACAGAGCUCCAGGCCACAGCCGCUGCCUCUCCCCACCUUUAAGUGGAUUCUGCAAAACCUCUUGAGCAUUCAAUAAACUCUUACUGUUUCUUUGAAUACAUAAUUCAGAUCCACUAGAAAACUGAGGAAAAGUAUUCAUUUUUAAAGGCGGCUAGGGUCACUCUUUUGGAUGCCCUGCCAUUUAAUACACCGCAUCAGGGUAAUACACCAAUCCUCCAGCUUUUUAUCGUCUUCCUUUUUCUCCUACUACAGGCGCAAAAUAUAAGAGCUGAAAGAUUCCCCCUUACCCUACCACUGAAGUGCAGAGCACACUCACAGAACGCCGGAAGAUCGACCUGGCUUUUCCCAGGAGCAGGCUUCGAUUCUGACAAUCAUUUGACCCCACAACUAUGGCUUCGAUCACUCAUUUUCUAAACCCUCAUCCCUUCCCAGGCCUCAGGCUAGGAGAUGCCCCCAAAACCAGGAGCGACCAGGCCCCUUUUGGCUG